rnacentral:lncRNA from 1 species
AGAAUUGCAACCUAGGCUCUGAUACCAACUGACACACCCCGUCCCGAAGGAGGGCGUGCUGGCCGUCACGUGAGAGUGACGUAACCAUUUACACAGUUCGGAAGCUUUAAAAAAAAUUCCAAUUACUAAGAUAACACACCCGAGGGUGAGUCCUACUUUUGUGAAUUCUGUCAGAACACCGUUGGAUUCCUCGUGGCCACCAAAGCUCUGCUAACUUGAACCUGGAGGGGCGCAAAA